GUGUCAGCCGCCGCGGUAAUACGAAGGGGGCUAGCGUUGCUCGGAAUCACUGGGCGUAAAGCGCACGUAGGCGGACUCUUAAGUCGGUGGUGAAAUCCUGGAGCUCAACUCCAGAACUGCCUUCGAUACUGAGAGUCUCGAGUCCGGGAGAGGUGAGUGGAACUGCGAGUGUAGAGGUGAAAUUCGUAGAUAUUCGCAAGAACACCAGUGGCGAAGGCGGCUCACUGGCCCGGUACUGACGCUGAGGUGCGAAAGCGUGGGGAGCAAACAGGAUUAGAAACCCCCGUAGUCC
rnacentral:rRNA from 1 species